AUUGACGUCUUCCAGAGCUGGCUCGUUGGCGCCCCUCGGCGCAACCGCGCGAACGCGCUCGUGCCACUGCUGACGCGUUCGUCGUCUCCUUUCAUAGCUGGCUCAGUUGG
rnacentral:lncRNA from 1 species